rnacentral:rRNA from 1 species
AUGAUGCACGGCAUGUACCAGGUCAGGGAGGACCGCCAAGUUCUUCUUUCGAUGUCUUUCGAUGUCUCCGAAAUCGCCAAGUACCAUGACCCGCUAGGCCAACGACACCCGAACGAGUGCUUCCGGCCGAGACAUUUGUGUGGCUACGUUUUGGACACGCCAAGUCCCUCGGGUCGGAUGCGUCAAGACCGCCCCGGUUGUUGCCAAGUACCACGACCCUGGAGUCCUCGGACCCGUCAAUCCAUCAACAUCUCUUUCUUCCUGAGUCAGGUUCCGAGCGAGAUGGGGUCGCGAUGCAGACAAUGCUGGGCGCGGCGGCGGCGAUCUCCAGCCAGAUCCGAUCGAGGGGUCGAGGCAGGGGCUGGAUCCUGUUCAGGGGAUGGCGUGGAGGCGAUCUACAAAUCGCGGGAGGAGGUCAGGCGACGGGGCUUCAACUCCAAGUUCAUGGCGGCGGCGUUCCUCCCCGGUUCCGACCAAGAUGGGGAGCUCCGGCGGAGUCUCUCCAUGGAUAAGCCGAUGGGACAAGGCCUAGGUAAGAGGAAAAACAUGUGUUGCAUCGACACAUUUGAUGCAGAGCGGCCACUUAUAUGUUGGUCAAGAUUCAACUUUGUUUAUGUCCAUGUUUUGCUGCAUAUGGAUGUGCAAAAUAUUCUUAGGGGCAUUAGCCUAGACAAGGAUGUUGAUGGUUUACAUCCCUUAAACAUUGGUAAUGUUGCCCUCAGAAGCUGGAAACCUGUGAUUGUUUCUUGUGCUACAAUAUGGAUUUAUCUCAUGGAAAGCACGUGUGUGAUCUGUCCUAACCAGGAAGACAAUGCUGAGGUAGUACAGGUUACAUCUAUGUUCAGAGAUGAGGCUAAGAUAAAAGAUGCUCAUAAAUUUAUAGUAGCACCAAGAAGGGUUGCGUCCAUCAUCCUCAUCAUGUCCGAUCUAGGCCGCCAGAGCACCAAGUUGCUGGCCUAUUCUAACAAGUCUAGGCCCUCGAGGCAUCCCUUCUGGCUGUGGAAGGAGACCCCGAUCUGUAGGAGCGACGAUAACCACCUUUAUGUCGAUCUAAGCGGUGGAGAGUUUGGUAUGGUGGCAAAUCAAGCAACUGCAGAUGGAGUCAUUCCAUGUUACUGCAUUGAGUUAGCAUACAUGGCAUGGAUGAUAGAUCAAACCCAAGUGAUUUGGAUUCUCAUGCUGGCACCUUCUCACAGUCGUGAACAUCCGUGA